GGAUGUGGGGGUGAUCUGGCCGUAACAUCUGUCACCCCAUCUAUCACCAGAGCUGAUUUGGCUGAUUUGGCUGAGCUGGCUAGUUAAGCAGGUGUCCCCUUCCUCCUUCACUGUUCCAUAUUCGACCCUCCCAAAGCUGCGCACUCGGUCAGAGAGUAUGACCUUCCCCAAUAGAGAAGGACUGUCCUUCGGUCAAGGGUAUAUGUGUAGCUGUGUGCCCCUGCUAGAACCUCCAAACAAGCUCUCAAGAAAGGAUCUUAUAGGUUGUGUAGUUAGUCUGAGAGUCAGGACAUUUAUAAUCAAAAUGAAUUUGUUGAAGGGGAGGUCAACAAAUUUUC
ensembl:misc_RNA 7SK 7SK RNA